rnacentral:rRNA from 1 species
UACUCGAGUGGCGAACGGGUGAGUAACACGUGGGUGAUCUGCCCUGCACUCUGGGAUAAGCCUGGGAAACUGGGUCUAAUACCGGAUAGGACCAUGCUUUAGUGUGUGUGGUGGAAAGUUUUUUCGGUGUAGGAUGAGCCCGCGGCCUAUCAGCUUGUUGGUGGGGUAAUGGCCUACCAAGGCGGCGACGGGUAGCCGGACUGAGAGGUUGGUCGGCCACAUUGGGACUGAGAUACGGCCAAG